rnacentral:tRNA from 1 species
AGCCACUUAGUGUAGUGGUUUGAGCACUGGACUACAAUUCUGGAGACCAGGGUUUGAGUCCCUGUUCAGUCA